AGUGAACGCUGGCGGUAGGCCUAACACAUGCAAGUCGAACGGCAGCACAGUAAGAGCUUGCUCUUACGGGUGGCGAGUGGCGGACGGGUGAGGAAUACAUCGGAAUCUACUUUUUCGUGGGGGAUAACGUAGGGAAACUUACGCUAAUACCGCAUACGACCUACGGGUGAAAGCAGGGGAUCUUCGGACCUUGCGCGAUUGAAUGAGCCGAUGUCGGAUUAGCUAGUUGGCGGGGUAAAGGCCCACCAAGGCGACGAUCCGUAGCUGGUCUGAGAGGAUGAUCAGCCACACUGGAACUGAGACACGGUCCAGACUCCUACGGGAGGCAGCAGUGGGGAAUAUUGGACAAUGGGCGCAAGCCUGAUCCAGCCAUACCGCGUGGGUGAAGAAGGCCUUCGGGUUAUAAAGCCCUUUUGUUGGGAAAGAAAAGCAGCAGGUUAAUACCCCGCUGUUCUGACGGUACCCAAAGAAUAAACACCGGCUAACUUCGUG
rnacentral:rRNA from 1 species